UCAGUGUUUGACAACAAACCAUGCAUACAAUUACAAUCAGGCCUAUGCUGACACCGUUGCCCAUGGUUCUGCUCAUAUGGAUAACUUUCAACACACUUGUCUGGUUACGGUUACCUUACGGGAUUGUAACUCAUUGUGAAAAGUGUAGGCGAACGGUGCAUGCAGAUAAGCCGGUUUGAAACUGCAGCCUAGAGGAGGACAUGAGAGUAGCUGCCAGGAGGAGCCGCCCGCCUGACGCCCGUGUGCACAGCCCCUGGUUCACUGGCUGGUUCAGAGCCCAUCAAUCACUGGCCCGUGUGGACCUCAGGUUGGUGGCUCUUGGCUUGUCUGCUGUGUUUGAAUGCUGUUAGCAGGAGCCAUCUGCUGCUGUUUACGGUUCAUUAGCCCCGAUACUGAAGACAGCCAGGCUACCCCCACAGCAACAGGUACAAAAGCCGGCCUCUUCUGACUGCUACAAUAAACGUCCCAUCACGUUGAUCCGGUAUCCAAUUAGAAUAAUACAUGAGGAAAAUCUGUGUUUUCUUUUAGGGCAAACAAACUGUGACUAAUGGAGUACACAUGAUUCCUGGUGGCGAUGGUGGGAUGAAAGUCGUAGUGUUCUGGAAAAACUCAUACUCUAAUGCAUACCUUCCCAGAAGUCCGUAGGCAUACUGUGAACCAGCCAGUAGUAACGUGAUCUCGUCCCUCUGCAUGGUUAUAACACACUCUUCCAGGCCCUGCGGGUGAAGAAAAGCCCAAUGUUGUAUUCUAAGUGCACGCAGUGAUCAACAUCAGUGCAUGUUGGAUUUGCAAAUCGCUUUUUAUUAGUUUGUAACUAAUACACUUUAGGGUGUUGCUAUUUGGUAUGCCAGUGACCUGAUAUCCCAGGUCAGAGUCAAGAUGAACCGCACCUGAAUGACAUCCGCCUCUCCUAUGACGAACACCAGCUUUCUGUCCUUCUCCACAACACUGCGGUCCUCCAGGAAGCCCUGCAGUUUGACGGUCACUUCUUGGCCCCAGGUGGGGCGUGGGGCAUGUGGGGGCCCAGGUUGUAGGACCUUCUUCCUCAGUAGGCAGUCAUCUGCGUAACACAGAGAAAAGGUCCCGUUGAUUGAAUUGGGUUUACCUGCUGGUUGCGCAGGAGCUAAGUUUUAAGAGUUAGUCUACCUGUAAAAAAAAUGAUUGAUACAUGUGUAUAUACAUUGAUGCACCAACCCCUCCCAAGAGUUGGAGUAACGUGCUUUGUAUUUAUUGUAUUUACAUAUUGCCAAUCCUACCUGUAAUAUUCUGCCAAUCUUUUGCCUUGAACAAUUCCUCAAACUUCCAUUCCUCCAGCACAUAAUCUGGAAAAAGACUUUCUCCAGAACUGUCCCUCUCCAACACCACAUCUGUCUGGGACGGGUCCUGGAAUCGGACCGUUUUCCAGCUGUUUGUUUUCCGAAGUUUCUUCCCAUCCGCACGUCCUCCGACUCUCCAGUUCUCUCGGCCCGGCGUCUGGUGAUUCUCCAUCUGGGGGGAAAGGUCCCUUUCUGCAGGCCCAGAGGAGGCCUCGGGUUCAGCAGGGUCCUCUGGC